GGCCGCGUAGCGUAAUGGUUAACGCGUCACUUUCCGGUUCUGCGGUGCAGGUGAAGAUUGCAGUUUCGAAUACUGCCGUGGUCG